GUGAUUGCUUCGGCAGGACAUAUACUAAAACUGGACCAAUACAGAGAAGAUUAGUGUGGCCUCUGCACAAGGAUGACAUGCAAAUUUGUGAAGUGUUCCAUAUUAAA
ensembl:snRNA U6 U6 spliceosomal RNA